rnacentral:rRNA from 1 species
UACGGGGGGAGCAAGCGUUGUUCGGAUUUACUGGGCGUAAAGGGCGCGUAGGCGGUCAGCACAAGUCAGUUGUGAAAUCUCCGGGCUUAACUCGGAAAGGUCAACUGAUACUGUGCGACUAGAGUGCAGAAGGGGCAACUGGAAUUCUCGGUGUAGCGGUGAAAUGCGUAGAUAUCGGGAGGAACACCGGUGGCGAAGGCGGCCCCCUGGUUGGAUACUGACGCUGAGACGCGAAAGCGUGGGGAGCAAACAGG